CUCCUUUGACGUUAGCGGCGGACGGGUGAGUAACACGUGGGUAACCUACCUAUAAGACUGGGAUAACUUCGGGAAACCGGAGCUAAUACCGGAUAAUAUUUCGAACCGCAUGGUUCGAUAGUGAAAGGUGGUUUUGCUAUCACUUAUAGGUGGACCCGCGCCGUAUUAGCUAGUUGGUAAGGUAACGGCUUACCAAGGCGACGAUACGUAGCCGACCUGAGAGGGUGAUCGGCCACACUGGAACUGAGACACGGUCCAGACUCCUACGGGAGGCAGCAGCU
rnacentral:rRNA from 1 species